UUCCGGUUGAUCCCGCCGGACCUGACUGCUAUCGGAUUGAUACUAAGCCAUGCGAGUCAUUGUAGUAAUACAAGGCAGACGGCUCAGUAACGCGUAGUCAACCUAACCUAUGGACGGAAAUAACCUCGGGAAACUGAGUAUAAUGUCCGAUAGAACAUUAUGCCUGGAAUGGUUUAUGUUCCAAAUGAUUUAUCGCCGUAGGAUGGGACUGCGGCCUAUCAGUUUGUUGGUGAGGUAAUGGCCCACCAAGACUAUUACAGGUACGGGCUCUGAGAGGAGUAGCCCGGAGAUGGGUACUGAGACACGGACCCAGGCCCUAUGGGGCGCAGCAGGCGAGAAAACUUUGCAAUGUGCGAAAGCACGACAAGGUUAAUCCGAGUGGUUUCUGCUAAAGGAACCUUUUGUCGGUCCUAGAAACACCGAUGAAUAAGGGGUGGGCAAGUUCUGGUGUCAGCCGCCGCGGUAAAACCAGCACCUCAAGUGGUCAGGAUGAUUAUUGGGCCUAAAGCAUCCGUAGCCGGCUCUAUAAGUUUUCGGUUAAAUCUGUGCGCUCAACGUACAGGCUGCCGGGAAUACUGCAGAGCUAGGGAGUGGGAGAGGUAGACGGUACUCGGUAGGAAGGGGUAAAAUCCUUUGAUCUAUUGAUGACCACCUGUGGCGAAGGCGGUCUACCAGAACACGUCCGACGGUGAGGGAUGAAAGCUGGGGGAGCAAACCGGAUUAGAUACCCGGGUAGUCCCAGCUGUAAACCAUGCAAACUCAAUGAUGCGUUGGCCUGGUGCCAAUGCAGUGUUGCAGGGAAGCCGUUAAGUUUGCCGCCUGGGAAGUACGUACGCAAGUAUGAAACUUAAAGGAAUUUGGCGGGGCAGCAC
rnacentral:rRNA from 1 species